CCUACGGGUGGCAGCAGUCGAGAAUCAUUCACAAUGGGGGAAACCCUGAUGGUGCGACGCCGCGUGGGGGAAUGAAGGUCUUCGGAUUGUAAACCCCUGUCAUGUGGGAGCAAAUUAAAAAGAUAGUACCACAAGAGGAAGAGACGGCUAACUCUGUGCCAGCAGCCGCGGUAAUACAGAGGUCUCAAGCGUUGUUCGGAAUCACGGGGCGUAAAGCGUGCGUAGACUGUUUCGUAAGUCGUGUGUGAAAGGCGCGGGCUCAACCCGCGGACGGCCCAUGAUACUGCGAGACUAGAGUAAGGGAGGGGGAAGCGGAAUUCUCGGUGUAGCAGUGAAAUGCGUAGAUAUCGAGAGGAACACUCGUGGCGAAGGCGGGUUCCUGGACAUUAACUGACGCUGAGGCACGAAGGCCAGGGGAGCGAAAGGGAUUAGAUACCCGUGUAGUC
rnacentral:rRNA from 1 species